rnacentral:rRNA from 1 species
AACGAACGCUGGCGGCAUGCCUAACACAUGCAAGUCGAACGAGACCUUCGGGUCUAGUGGCGCACGGGUGCGUAACGCGUGGGAACCUGCCCUUAGGUUCGGAAUAACUCCCCGAAAGGGGUGCUAAUACCGGAUAAUGUCUUCGGACCAAAGAUUUAUCGCCUUUGGAUGGGCCCGCGUUGGAUUAGCUAGUUGGUAGGGUAAAAGCCUACCAAGGCGACGUUCCAUAGCUGGUCUGAGAGGAUGAUCAGCCACACUGGGACUGAGACACGGCCCAGACUCCUACGGAGGGCAGCAGUGGGGAAUAUUGGACAAUGGGCGAAAGCCUGAUCCAGCAAUGCCGCGUGAGUGAUGAAGGCCUUAGGGUUGUAAAGCUCUUUUACCCGGGAUGAUAAUGACAGUACCGGGAGAAUAAGCUCCGGCUAACUCCGUG